AUUGAACGCUGGCGGCAGGCUUAACACAUGCAAGUCGAGCGGUAGCACAGGGGAGCUUGCUCCCUGGGUGACGAGCGGCGGACGGGUGAGUAAUGUCUGGGAAACUGCCUGAUGGAGGGGGAUAACUACUGGAAACGGUAGCUAAUACCGCAUAACGUCGCAAGGCCAAAGAGGGGGACCUUCGGGCCUCUUGCCAUCAGAUGUGCCCAGAUGGGAUUAGCUAGUAGGUGGGGUAAUGGCUCACCUAGGCGACGAUCCCUAGCUGGUCUGAGAGGAUGACCAGCCACACUGGAACUGAGACACGGUCCAGACUCCUACGGGAGGCAGCAGUGGGGAAUAUUGCACAAUGGGCGCAAGCCUGAUGCAGCCAUGCCGCGUGUGUGAAGAAGGCCUUCGGGUUGUAAAGCACUUUCAGCGAGGAGGAAGGUGGUGAGCUUAAUACGUUCAUCAAUUGACGUUACUCGCAGAAGAAGCACCGGCUAACUCCGUG
rnacentral:rRNA from 1 species